UACGGCGACAUCACGUUGAAACACCGGUUCCCGUAUGAUCACCGAAGUUAAGCAACGUCGAGCAUGACCAUUAGCUAGAUGGGUGACCGCUUGGGAAUACCAGGUGCUGUAAU